GAUGAACGCUGGCGGCGUGCCUAAUACAUGCAAGUCGAGCGAACAGAUGAGGAGCUUGCUCCUCUGACGUUAGCGGCGGACGGGUGAGUAACACGUGGAUAACCUACCUAUAAGACUGGGAUAACUUCGGGAAACCGGAGCUAAUACCGGAUAAUAUAUUGAACCGCAUGGUUCAAUAGUGAAAGACGGUUUUGCUGUCACUUAUAGAUGGAUCCGCGCCGCAUUAGCUAGUUGGUAAGGUAACGGCUUACCAAGGCAACGAUGCGUAGCCGACCUGAGAGGGUGAUCGGCCACACUGGAACUGAGACACGGUCCAGACUCCUACGGGAGGCAGCAGUAGGGAAUCUUCCGCAAUGGGCGAAAGCCUGACGGAGCAACGCCGCGUGAGUGAUGAAGGGCUUCGGAUCGUAAAACUCUGUUAUUAGGGAAGAACAAAUGUGUAAGUAACUAUGCACGUCUUGACGGUACCUAAUCAGAAAGCCACGGCUAACUACGU
rnacentral:rRNA from 1 species